rnacentral:rRNA from 1 species
UACGAAGGGGGCUAGCGUUGCUCGGAAUUACUGGGCGUAAAGCGCACGUAGGCGGCUCUUUAAGUCGGAGGUGAAAUCCUGGAGCUCAACUCCAGAACUGCCUUCGAUACUGAAGAUCUCGAGUCCGGGAGAGGUGAGUGGAACUGCGAGUGUAGAGGUGAAAUUCGUAGAUAUUCGCAAGAACACCAGUGGCGAAGGCGGCUCACUGGCCCGGUACUGACGCUGAGGUGCGAAAGCGUGGGGAGCAAACAGGG